GUUGGAGCCGUCCUUGAAAUACCACCCUUGUAUGUUUGAUGUUCUAACUUAGACCCAUUAUCUGGGUUGAGGACAGUGCCUGGUGGGUAGUUUGACUGGGGCGGUCUCCUCCCAAAGAGUAACGGAGGAGCACGAAGGUGGGCUAAUCACGGUUGGACAUCGUGAGGUUAGUGCAAUGGCAUAAGCCCGCUUAACUGCGAGAAUGACGGUUCGAGCAGGUGCGAAAGCAGGUCAUAGUGAUCCGGUGGUUCUGUAUGGAAGGGCCAUCGCUCAACGGAUAAAAGGUACUCCGGGGAUAACAGGCUGAUACCGCCCAAGAGUUCAUAUCGACGGCGGUGUUUGGCACCUCGAUGUCGGCUCAUCACAUCCUGGGGCUGAAGUCGGUCCCAAGGGUAUGGCUGUUCGCCAUUUAAAGUGGUACGCGAGCUGGGUUUAGAACGUCGUGAGACAGUUCGGUCCCUAUCUGCCGUGGGCGUUGGAAGAUUGAAGGGGGCUGCUCCUAGUACGAGAGGACCGGAGUGGACGAACCUCUGGUGUUCGGGUUGUGUCGCCAGACGCAUUGCCCGGUAGCUAAGUUCGGAAUUGAUAAGCGCUGAAAGCAUCUAAGCGCGAAGCGAGCCCUGAGAUGAGUCUUCCCUGACAGUUUAACUGUCCUAAAGGGUUGUUCGAGACUAGAACGUUGAUAGGCAGGGUGUGUAAGCGUUGUGAGGCGUUGAGCUAACCUGUA
rnacentral:rRNA from 1 species